UACGGGGGGGGCAAGCGUUGUUCGGAAUUACUGGGCGUAAAGGGCUCGUAGGCGGCCAACUAAGUCAGACGUGAAAUCCCCAGGCUCAACCUGGGAACUGCGUCUGAUACUGGAUGGCCUGAAUCCGGGAGAGGGAUGCAGAAUUCCAGGUGUAGCGGUGAAAUGCGUAGAUAUCUGGAGGAAUACCGGUGGCGAAGGCGGCAUCCUGGACCGGCAUUGACGCUGAGGAGCGAAAGCCAGGGGAGCAAACGGG
rnacentral:rRNA from 1 species